ensembl:ncRNA T14F9.15 ncRNA
CACAAAAAGUUGUUGCACAACACGCUGCACAUGCUUCCCCGUGUCUAACAACGGCGGUAAAGCCUUCCUCUAUGAGUCAAUGAUAUGCUUUUGCCGCGCGGCAAGCUGUGUGGCCACCGGCAACGUCAAACAACCUCUGAAGA